rnacentral:lncRNA from 1 species
AUCUAUUUGAAUAUACAGCCCCCUCUUCCCCUCUUCACAAACAGCUCCUUUGGAUCAUCACUGUGUCUCUGCAAGAGAUGAGAGAGUUGAACAGAGGCCAUGGGACCUUUCAUUCAAGAAUCUCAGUGCACUUUUGAAAUGAGAUAUUCUCAAUAUCAAGCCAACACACAGGGAAUGUGUGGAUUCUGGAGCCUGAAGAAACUGACUGCAGACUGAGAUGAUCCUGAGAUGGGAGCCAGUAUUGAAGCCCAAAAUGGAUGCUUUCAUAUCUUAAGUUCCUGUCUAUAGCUCAUCUGUUAUUUGUCACGCUAAAAGUACCCCAGCACCAAACCUAGCCCCGCUAAGAAGGAAAUCCAUG